rnacentral:rRNA from 1 species
ACGAACGCUGGCGGCAGGCCUAACACAUGCAAGUCGAACGCCCGUAGCAAUACGGGAGUGGCAGACGGGAGAGAAACGCGUGGGUACCUACCUAGCAGUACGGAAUAACCGCGGGAAAGUGCGGCUAAUACCGUAUACGCCCCAAGGGGGAAAGAUUCAUCGCUGCUAGAUGGGCCCGCGUCCGAUUAGCUAGUUGGCGGGGUAAUGGCCCACCAAGGCUACGAUCGGUAGCUGGUCUGAGAGGACGAUCAGCCUCACUGGGACUGAGACACGGCCCAGACUCCUACGGGAGGCAGCAGUGGGGAAUAUUGGACAAUGGGCGAAAGCCUGAUCCAGCCAUGCCGCGUGGGUGAUGAAGGCCUUAGGGUUGUAAAGCCCUUUUGACGGGGACGAUAAUGACGGUACCCGUAGAAUAAGCCCCGGCUAACCUCGU